UCGCACGCAGGCAGCAACCAGGGUAACUUUCAAGGACUUCCUCUGGAUGGUGGCAGAUUGACAACUUCACAUCAGUGAACAUGAAUCUCAUAACUGAUUGGAAAAAUAAAUAAAGUUUUGCACACAA